UAUGCAUGUUAUGAAUGUGUGCAUAUGCAUGUGCAUGGAUGUGCAUCUGUGUGUACUUGUAUUUGUAUAAAU
rnacentral:pre_miRNA from 1 species